UAUUUAAUCUGUUAAUCUCCUGUACUUAGCAUGUCAGUAAUUCAUUAUGCUCAUUGAAAUUGAAGUUAUCGGAAGUAAACAUAAUGUGGGAGGACAAUUGUUUAAGAAUAUUUAGGAACUUUACAAAAAAUGCAUAUGCAAAGGAACAUGCAUGAACAAAACAUGUUAAUGUUAAAAAUAUAUGACGUUCCUUGUGGAAGCAAGUGUCAUCUUGGGCCAGAGUAACAAAAUAUGAUUCACGGAUAUAAAAUUAAACAAAAUUUAGUAUUUGAUUUUAAUUGUUCGCUUAUUCACUUUAUCCAUCUU
rnacentral:lncRNA from 1 species